rnacentral:rRNA from 1 species
CAGCCGCCACGGGAAUACGUAGGUGGCAAGCGUUGUCCGGAAUUAUUGGGCGUAAAGGGCUCGCAGGCGGUUUCGUAAGUCUGAUGUGAAAGCCCCCGGCUCAACCGGGGAGGGUCAUUGGAAACUGGGAAACUUGAGUGCAGAAGAGGAGAGUGGAAUUCCACGUGUAGCGGUGAAAUGCGUAGAUAUCGGAAGGAACACCUGUGGCGAAAGCGGCUCACUGGACCAUUUCUGACGCUGAUGCACGAAAGCUAGGGGAGCAAACAGGGUUAGAGACCCCAGUAGUCCCUGUCUCUUAUAU